UACAGAGGUCUCAAGCGUUGUUCGGAUUCAUUGGGCGUAAAGGGUGCGUAGGUGGCGCCGUAAGUCGGGUGUGAAAUUUCGGAGCUUAACUCCGAAACUGCAUUCGAUACUGCGGUGCUUGAGGACUGGAGAGGAGACUGGAAUUCAUGGUGUAGCAGUGAAAUGCGUAGAGAUCAAUGAGGAAGACCAGUGGCGAAGGCGG
rnacentral:rRNA from 1 species